CGCGUCUCCGUUAAUGAUUUUAGGUGCUUGCACUUGAAAGAUUUAACAUUGAGACGAGUGGCGAACUGGUGAGUAACACGUGGGUAACCUGCCCUUGAAGUAGGGGAUAACACUUGGAAACAGGUGCUAAUACCGUAUAACAACCAAAACCACCUGGUUUUGGUUUAAAAGACGGCUUCGGCUGUCACUUUAGGAUGGACCCGCGGCGUAUUAGCUUGUUGGUAAGGUAACGGCCUACCAAGGCGAUGAUACGUAGCCGACCUGAGAGGGUAAUCGGCCACAUUGGGACUGAGACACGGCCCAAACUCCUACGGGAGGCAGCAGUAGGGAAUCUUCCACAAUGGACGAAAGUCUGAUGGAGCAACGCCGCGUGAGUGAUGAAGGGUUUCGGCUCGUAAAACUCUGUUGUUGGAGAAGAACAGGUGUCAGAGUAACUGUUGACAUCUUGACGGUAUCCAACCAGAAAGCCACGGCUAACUACGUGCCAGCAGCCGCGGUAAUACGUAGGUGGCAAGCGUUGUCCGGAUUUAUUGGGCGUAAAGCGAGCGCAGGCGGUUUUUUAGGUCUGAUGUGAAAGCCUUCGGCUUAACCGGAGAAGUGCAUCGGAAACCGGGAGACUUGAGUGCAGAAGAGGACAGUGGAACUCCAUGUGUAGCGGUGAAAUGCGUAGAUAUAUGGAAGAACACCAGUGGCGAAGGCGGCUGUCUGGUCUGUAACUGACGCUGAGGCUCGAAAGC
rnacentral:rRNA from 1 species